rnacentral:rRNA from 1 species
GAUGAACGCUAGCUACAGGCUUAACACAUGCAAGUCGCGGGGCAGCAUGGGGGUUGCUUGCAAUCCCCGAUGGCGACCGGCGCACGGGUGAGUAACGCGUAUCCAACCCGCCCUUCACCACGGGAUAACCCGGCGAAAGUCGGACUAAUACCGUAUGUUGUCCAUUGACGGCAUCCGAUUUGGACGAAAGGCUUGGCGGUGAGGGAUGGGGAUGCGUCCGAUUAGCCAGACGGCGGGGUAACGGCCCACCGUGGCUACGAUCGGUAGGGGUUCUGAGAGGAAGGUCCCCCACACUGGAACUGAGACACGGUCCAGACUCCUACGGGAGGCAGCAGUGAGGAAUAUUGGUCAAUGGGCGUAAGCCUGAACCAGCCAAGUAGCGUGCAGGAUGACGGCCCUAUGGGUGGUAAACUGCUUUUAUGCGGGGAUAAAGUGGCCCACGGGUGGGCUUUUGCAGGUACCGCAUGAAUAAGGACCGGCUAAUUCCGUG